rnacentral:misc_RNA from 1 species
GAUGAAGAACGUAGCGAAAUGCGAUAAGUAAUGUGAAUUGCAGAAUUCAGUGAAUCAUCGAAUCUUUGAACGCACAUUGCGCCCCUUGGUAUUCCGAGGGGCAUGCCUAUUCGAGCGUCAUUAUCUCCCCUCAAGCCUAGCUUGGUGUUGAGGCCUGCUGUCAAGGCAGCCUCUAAAAUCAGUGGCAGUGCUGUCAGGCUCUAAGCGUAGUAAAUCUAAUCGCUAUAGACACCUGGUGGACACUCGCCAGAACCCCCCCAUUUUUUAAUGAUUGACCUCGGAUUAGGUAGGGAUACCCGCUGAACUUAAGCAUAUCAAUAAGCGGAGGA